CAGCAGCCGCCGCGGUAAUACGGAGGGGGCUAGCGUUGUUCGGAAUUACUGGGCGUAAAGCGCACGUAGGCGGCUUUGUAAGUUAGAGGUGAAAGCCCGGAGCUCAACUCCGGAAUUGCCUUUGAUACUGGUUGUCUUGAGUCCGGGAGAGGUGAGUGGAACUGCGAGUGUAGAGGUGAAAUUCGUAGAUAUUCGCAAGAACACCAGUGGCGAAGGCGGCUUACUGGCUCAUUCUAGACGCUGAGGUGCGAAAGCGUGGGGAGCAAACAGGAUUAGAUACCCCCGUAGUCCCUGUCUCUUAUAC
rnacentral:rRNA from 1 species